AGUGAACGAAGGAAAAGGAAAAGGAAAAGGACGCGAAUGAGGAUGUUUUAAGCGUUUUAAUCCCGUUGUUUCAUUGUUUUCUUUCUUUCCUUCCUCUUCUUCUU
rnacentral:ribozyme from 12 species